rnacentral:rRNA from 1 species
UACGAAGGUCCCAAGCGUUAUCCGGAUUUAUUGGGUUUAAAGGGUGCGUAGGCGGGCUAUUAAGUCAGUGGUGAAAGCCCCAAGCUUAACUUGGGAACUGCCAUUGAUACUGAUGGUCUUGAGUACAUUUGAGGUGGGCGGAAUGUGUCAUGUAGCGGUGAAAUGCUUAGAUAUGACACAGAACACCGAUUGCGAAGGCAGCUCA